UACAGAGGGUGCGAGCGUUGUCCGGAAUCACUGGGCGUAAAGGGCGCGUAGGCGGUCUCUUAAGCGUGUGGUGAAAGCCCCGGGCUCAACCUGGGAACGGCGCGCGAGACGGGAGGGCUGGAGUUCGGGAGAGGAGCGUGGAAUUCCCGGUGUAGAGGUGAAAUUCGUAGAUAUCGGGAGGAACACCGGUGGCGAAGGCGGCGACCUGGGUAGAUACUGACGCUGAGGCGCGAAAGCGUGGGGAGCGAGUCCGG
rnacentral:rRNA from 1 species